rnacentral:lncRNA from 1 species
AUUCUCUUGCUUCAGCCUCCCGAAUAGCUCGGACUAUAGGCGCCCGCCACCGCUCCCAGCCAAUUUUUUUGUGUUUUUAGCAGAAACGGGGUUUCACCGUGUUAGCCAGGAUGGUCUCGAUCGCCUGACCUCGUGAUCCGCCCGCCUCGGCCUCCCAAAGUGCUGGAAUUACAGGCGUGAGCCACUGCGCCCGGCCGAGAAACCUAUUUUUGAUGUUUAUAUUUGGUGAGUGUUUCUUUUUACUGUUUAAUCAUGGUUUUGAAAGCCAUAAGGAAGGAAAAGCAUGGCAAUGCUAAUUGCAGUGGAUUUAAGACAACGUCUAUGUGUUCUUUGACACUUCUCCCAUCAAGGACCUAAUUCCCUUUCCUUUGGUCCUAAUUAGUAGAAUGUGUUAGAAAUGCAUGACCACAGAGGCUGGUCAUAAAUGGUGACACAGCAUUCCCCUGGCUUUGUUUCCCAGGAUACUUGCUCUUGGAGCCCACCUGCCCUGCUGGGAGGUGCUGGGAACACCUGGAGAGCCAUGUGCAGCUGUGUGGCCAGCAAUCCCAGCUUUGUUCCCAGCCAGCUGCCAGACCUGGGAGUGAGGAAGCCUUCCAGAAGACCCCAGCCUAGUCCCCAUCUGACAGCGACCUCAUGAGAUAUCCUGAGUGAGAUCUACCCAGCCGAGCCCAAUAAACCCAUGAAAACAUCAGAGCUUUUCUGGGGUUGUGCUGGUUAUACCAACCUUAUCUCAGCUACCUGAAGGAUUGUCGUGCUGGAGAAGACGUGUGGAGACCCACCUGACCAAAGCUCAACUUCAUGAACAUAAGAG